rnacentral:rRNA from 1 species
CCUACGGGUGGCAGCAGUGAGGAAUAUUGGUCAAUGGACGCAAGUCUGAACCAGCCAUGCCGCGUGCAGGAAGACGGCUCUAUGAGUUGUAAACUGCUUUUGUACGAGGGUAAACGCAGAUACGUGUAUCUGUCUGAAAGUAUCGUACGAAUAAGGAUCGGCUAACUCCGUGCCAGCAGCCGCGGUAAUACGGAGGAUUCAAGCGUUAUCCGGAUUUAUUGGGUUUAAAGGGUGCGUAGGCGGUCGGAUAAGUUAGAGGUGAAAUCCCGGGGCUCAACUUCGGAAUUGCCUCUGAUACUGUUCGUCUAGAGCGUAGUUGCGGUAGGCGGAAUGUAUGGUGUAGCGGUGAAAUGCUUAGAGAUCAUACAGAACACCGAUUGCGAAGGCAGCUUACCAAGCUACUUCUGACGUUGAGGCACGAAAGCGUGGGGAGCAAACAGGAUUAGAUACCCCUGUAGUC